rnacentral:pre_miRNA from 9 species
UCUCGAUAGAGUUAAAGUUAACUCAUAUUUGUAUGAUGUUGGAAAUUAUGCCUACGUUUGCCACUAGGGGCGCUGUUUCAACUGCAUACAAAUUUGACUUAACUUUUACGCUAUCGA